UACAGAGGGUGCGAGCGUUAAUCGGAGUUACUGGGCGUAAAGGGCGCGUAGGCAGUUGAUUGAGUGAGAUGUGAAAUCCCUGGGCUUAACCUAGGAAUUGCAACUCAUACUGGUCAGCUGGAGUAUAGUAGAGGGUAGUGGAAUUUCCGGUGUAGCGGUGAAAUGCGUAGAUAUCGGAAGGAACACCAGUGGCGAAGGCGACUACCUGGACUGAUACUGACGCUGAGGCGCGAGAGCGUGGGGAGCAAACAGG
rnacentral:rRNA from 1 species